rnacentral:rRNA from 1 species
UGGGGAAUAUUGGACAAUGGGCGAAAGCCUGAUCCAGCCAUGCCGCGUGUGUGAAGAAGGUCUUCGGAUUGUAAAGCACUUUAAGUUGGGAGGAAGGGCAGUAAGCGAAUACCUUGCUGUUUUGACGUUACCGACAGAAUAAGCACCGGCUUACUCUGUGCCAGCAGUCGCGGUAAUACAGAGGGUGCAAGCGUUAAUCGGAAUUACUGGGCGUAAAGCGUGCGUAGGUGGUUCGUUAAGUUGAAUGUGAAAGCCCCGGGCUCAACCUGGGAACUGCAUCCAAAACUGGCGAGCUUGAGUAGGGCAGAGGGUAGUGGAAUUUCCUGUGUAGCGGUGAAAUGCGUAGAUAUAGGAAGGAACACCAGUGGCGAAGGCGACCACCUGGGCUCAUACUGACACUGAGGUGCGAAAGCGUGGGGAGCAAACAGG